GCUGGACAUGGUGGUGCACGUCUGUAAUCCCAGUGGCUCGGGAGGCUGAGGCAGGAGGAUUGCCAAGUUCAAAGUCAGCCUCAG
rnacentral:sRNA from 1 species